UACGUAGGGCGCGAGCGUUGUCCGGAAUUAUUGGGCGUAAAGAGCUCGUAGGCGGCCUGUCGCGUCAAUUGUGGAAGCCCGGGGCUUAACCCCGGGUCUGCAGUCGAUACGGGCAGGCUAGAGUUCGGUAGGGGAGAUCGGAAUUCCUGGUGUAGCGGUGAAAUGCGCAGAUAUCAGGAGGAACACCGGUGGCGAAGGCGGAUCUCUGGGCCGAUACUGACGCUGAGGAGCGAAAGCGUGGGGAGCGAACAGG
rnacentral:rRNA from 1 species